UACGAAGGGGGCUAGCGUUGCUCGGAAUCACUGGGCGUAAAGCGCACGUAGGCGGCUUGCUAAGCCAGGGGUGAAAUCCUGGAGCUCAACUCCAGAACUGCCUUUGAUACUGGCGAUCUCGAGUCCGGGAGAGGUGAGUGGAACUGCGAGUGUAGAGGUGAAAUUCGUAGAUAUUCGCAAGGACACCAGUGGCGAAGGCGGCUCACUGGCCCGGUACUGACGCUGAGGUGCGAAAGCGUGGGGAGCAAACAGG
rnacentral:rRNA from 1 species